UAGGAACCGUGAGAUUAAGCCAUCGCGGCAGGUGCUCACGUUAAGCCCACUGACUUUCAUGUCCCUAUCUACUAUCUAGCGAAACCACAGCCAAGGGAACGGGCUUGGAAUAAUUAGCGGGGAAAGAAGACCCUUUUGAGCUUGACUCUAAUCUGGCAGUGUAAGGAGACAUAAGAGGUGUAGAAUAAGUGGGAGAUAUUAGACUUCGGUUUGGUAUCGACAAUGAAAUACCACUACUCUUAUUGUUUCCUUACUUACUUGAUUAAAUGGAACGUGUAUCAUUUCCUAGCCAUUAUACGGAUAUAAUUAUUAUGUCUUAUGGUAUUGGGUUUUGAUGCAAGCUUCUUGAUCAAAGUAUCACGAGUUUGUUAUAUAAUCGCAAACAAAUUCUUUAAUGAGAGAAUGCAUUUAUGUAUUAUUGAUUUAAAAAUUUGGUAUAACUCCAAUUACUCAGGUAUGAUCCAAUUCAAGGACAUUGCCAGGUAGGGAGUUUGACUGGGGCGGUACAUCUC
rnacentral:ncRNA from 1 species